rnacentral:lncRNA from 1 species
CUUGCGAUGUUGUCAUCAUCUACUUCAUCAUCACCAUCUCCACCACCAUGAAGGCCUGGUAGACCCAUUGUAUAUUCCCCUUCAGAAAAAAAGAGGAGGAGUAAGAGUCUGGAGAGAAAAAGGGCUCGGCCAAGGAUAUGUAUACAACAGCUACGAGCACUGAGAUGAUGUGUGCAAGGAAUCAGAAGUGAAGCAAGAAGCUGAUGGAAGCCCAGAGUUAAAAUCUGAACAGGAUGUACCAGAGACCUCUUCAGCAGCAACUGCUGAAAGAUCUACAUUUGAUCUGGAGCAGUUCCAGCAGCGCUUGUAUAUGUAUGCUACCAAGAUGUCUGAGUACACCUACCCUGUCUACAGAGCAAGAUGUUUUUGCAGUGAUUGAUUACAACAUGCAUUUGAACCGGCAAACUGCACARUCAGCAAAAUCAGUUAAUAUACCGUAGAAUAUACCAUAGGGAAUCUGGAAGAUGGACUUUGGUACCUAAGAAAGAAGAAAAGCAGUAUGUUUAUAUUGAUGACAUAAUGGAGGAAAUAUUUCAGCGCUGUUUGGAAGCAUAGAAAGAGAUCACAGUCGAGCAGAACGCUUCAAAAAUGCAAAAUAAUGUGUGCUAAUUCAUUCAUUACAUCAUCUAAUGCCUCCAGACUUCUGCCUAUUGUAAUUGCUAACAAUAGUGCUUGGCUCUGUAGGAGGAUAUAGUUAACACUUAUUCUGGGUGCAAGGGGAGGAGGAGGUGAUACUCUGUAUUAAUAAAAACAAAAGAAAUCAGAAAUAUUGGCGUUUU